AACGCGUAUGCAAUCUACCUUUUACAGAGGGAUAGCCCAGAGAAAUUUGGAUUAAUACCUCAUAGUAUAUAGACCUGGCAUCAGGAUUAUAUUAAAGUCACAACGGUAAAAGAUGAGCAUGCGUCCCAUUAGCUAGUUGGUAAGGUAACGGCUUACCAAGGCUACGAUGGGUAGGGGUCCUGAGAGGGAGAUCCCCCACACUGGUACUGAGACACGGACCAGACUCCUACGGGAGGCAGCAGUGAGGAAUAUUGGACAAUGGGCGCAAGCCUGAUCCAGCCAUGCCGCGUGCAGGAUGACGGUCCUAUGGAUUGUAAACUGCUUUUAUACGAGAAGAAACACUGCUUCGUGAAGCAGCUUGACGGUAUCGUAAGAAUAAGGAUCGGCUAACUCCGUGCCAGCAGCCGCGGUAAUACGGAGGAUCCAAGCGUUAUCCGGAAUCAUUGGGUUUAAAGGGUCCGUAGGCGGUUUGGUAAGUCAGUGGUGAAAGCCCAUCGCUCAACGGUGGAACGGCCAUUGAUACUGCCAGACUUGAAU
rnacentral:rRNA from 1 species